AACGAACGCUGGCGGCAGGCCUAACACAUGCAAGUCGAACGCACCGCAAGGUGAGUGGCGCACGGGUGAGUAACACGUGGGAAUGUACCCUUUGGUUCGGAAUAACGUUUGGAAACGAACGCUAAUACCGGAUGAGCCCUGCGGGGGAAAGAUUUAUCGCCAAAGGAGCAGCCCGCGUCUGAUUAGCUAGUUGGUGGGGUAAAGGCCUACCAAGGCGACGAUCAGUAGCUGGUCUGAGAGGAUGAUCAGCCACACUGGGACUGAGACACGGCCCAGACUCCUACGGGAGGCAGCAGUGGGGAAUAUUGGACAAUGGGCGCAAGCCUGAUCCAGCCAUGCCGCGUGAGUGAUGAAGGCCUUCGGGUUGUAAAGCUCUUUCGCACGCGACGAUGAUGACGUAGCGUGAGAAGAAG
rnacentral:rRNA from 1 species